AUAUAUAUCACCAUUAAUAGAUUUUACCCAUGUCAAAAGUAGAAUGUACAUUUUUUUAAACCCCUUUAAUAGUUAGUUUGAUCCUGACAAAAGCAUUUUCUUUCAUUUCACUGUAGGACUACUAAGAGUCAUCACACAAGAUCUGUCUCCAACACACUAAAAAUAGAAAGGAAUAGAAUAUCAGAUUUGGGAGGCCGAGCUUUUAGUUUAAUUUCCUUGGAUUUAGCUCAUUCAUUUAAGAGCACGCAAUGGAUUACUGGGACGACACACUAUUAAAUAUCUGGGCUGGAACAAGCCUUACAUCUGAAGGUACCCUACUUUGCUCCUCAUCAUAUGCUGUUUGGAUAGCCUGUGCACAUCUAUCCUGUGCACUGCUUCAACUCAGUAGAUCAACAAAGUAGUCCAUGUUGAUUGAGCUCCAAUUAAGUGCAAAACACAGAGAGGUGGCUAUAUUGUAUUUAGUCUCAAGGUAGGUUGACUGGGUGCAUUCCAGAUCUUCCUUCUUGCUAAUUCUAACUUGCCAUUUAACAGUAAG
rnacentral:lncRNA from 12 species